GGACAGACACUGAAGGAAACUCCUCACUUCACUCUCUUCAUCUGACCAGCCCCUCAGCUCUACUGGUUUCUUCUCUGGUUGGAGUUUCAGCACUUUUAGGAGGAGGGAGGCCUUUCUCUCUGAGAGGUCUAUGGACCAGACUGCAGGAGCUGACUGGUAAACUGGCUGUAAUGCUGGAAGGAAACUCCUGCCUGUUUGAGUCUCAUAGUCCUUCACAUGUGAGUACAGAUCCAGCAGGAAUUCACAUUGAUAUUCCUUACUGUCAUCAUCAUCAUCAUCACAGAAGGGAAAGGUGCUGUAAGUCCACACUGAUGAUACCAGCUUCAGUGUCUUCUCUCCUGUCUGCUCCUCCCACUCUGCUGCUUGAGACAGGAGAUCCACCAGGAACUUGAUCUGCUUUGAGGAAUCAGACCUCCAUGGAUAGAAACUGCAACAAGGACAGUAACAGCUGAUUCAGACAUGGAUGAACACAUGAAACCAGUCAUAGAUAAAGAUAUACCAGAAAGGAGGAUCUCUGGGGGGCAGUUUGAUAGUGGUGAUGCUGCACAACUCUGGUUUAUUUUCCUUCUCUCUCUCUUCCCCAACUCUGGCUCUCUUCUCUCUCCUAUUCUCUCUCUCCCCUCUCUCUCUCUCUCUCUUCCCUCUCGCUCUCUCUCUCUCUUCCCUUUCUCUUCCCUCUCACUCUCUCUCUUUCUCCACCCUCUCUCUUUCUCUUCCCUCUCACUCUCUCUCUUUCUCUUCCCUCUCACUCUCUCUCUUUCUCUUCCCUCUCUUUUUCUCUUCCCUCUCACUCUCUCUCUUUCUCUUCCCUCUCACUCUCUCUCUCCCCUCUCGCUAUCUCUCU
ensembl:lncRNA